rnacentral:rRNA from 1 species
AUUGACCGCUGGCGGCAGGCCUAACACAUGCAAGUCGAGCGAUCGGCGGACGGGUGAGUAAUGUCUGGGGACUGCCCGAUAGAGGGGGAUAACUACUGGCAACGGUGGCUAAUACCGCAUACUAUCGGAUAACCCAUAUGGGAUUGGCUGGUUGUUGGGGUAAAGUCUCACCUAGGCGACGAUCUCUAGCUGGUCUGAGAGGAUGAACAGCCACACUGGGACGGAGACACGGCCCAGACUCCGACGGAGGCAGCAGUGGGGAAUAUGGCACAAUGGGCGAAAGCCUGAUGCAGCCAUGCCGCGUGUAUGAAGAAGGCCUUAGGGUUGUAAAGUACUUUCAGCGGGGAGGCGUUACCCGCAGAAGAAGCACCGGCUAACUCCGUGCCAGCAGCCGCGGUAAUAC